GUGCUCACUUUGGUAGCACAUAUACUAAAAUUGGAACAUUACAGAGAAGAUCAGCAUGGCCCCUGUGCAAGGAUGACAUGCAAAUUCGUGAAGUGUUCCAUGUAUUU
ensembl:snRNA U6 U6 spliceosomal RNA